AAACGACAUCGAAAGCUUGCUUUUGAUGGGCGUCGACCGGCGCACGGGUGAGUAACGCGUAUCCAACCUGCCGUCUACUCAGGGAUAGCCUUGCGAAAGUAAGACUAAUACCCAAUGAUAUCCCACGAAGGCAUCCGAAUGGGAUUAAAGAUUUAUCGGUGAUGGAUGGGGAUGCGUCUGAUUAGCUUGUUGGCGGGGUAACGGCCCACCAAGGCGACGAUCAGUAGGGGUUCUGAGAGGAAGGUCCCCACAUUGGAACUGAGACACGGUCCAAACUCC
rnacentral:rRNA from 1 species